GGGGUUGUAGCUCACUGGUAGAGUGCUUACCUAGCAUGUAUGAAGCCCUGGGUUCGAUGCUCAGCACCACA
rnacentral:tRNA from 1 species